UACAGACGGUCCAAACGUUAUUCGGAAUCACUGGGCUUAAAGAGCUCGUAGGCGGUUUGUCGCGUCGGCCGUGAAAUCUCCACGCUUAACGUGGAGCGUGCGGUCGAUACGGGCAGACUUGAGUUCGGUAGGGGAGACUGGAAUUCCUGGUGUAGCGGUGAAAUGCGCAGAUAUCAGGAGGAACACCGGUGGCGAAGGCGGGUCUCUGGGCCGAUACUGACGCUGAGGAGCGAAAGCGUGGGGAGCGAACAGG
rnacentral:rRNA from 1 species